CUCACAGAUGCCUGCUUUUGCUGGGAUUAAAUAACAGAAAGGGGCAAUUGUUGUGGAUGGGCCUGGUGCUGUUCUUGUGAACCAAUCACCUAAUGAAUAAAGGAGCCAAUCACUGGUCAGAGAACAACUUGCAAGAGUCAGUUCUGUUCUUCUGCCACGAGCCUAGCAUGGCUGCCCUCCAAGAGGCCCAACAAACAGCUGACCAAGACAGACACAGAUACGUACACCCAACCGAUGGACUGAAGUUGGGGACCUCUGUGGUUGAAUCAAGGCUGGAAGAAGUUGUGGGGGAAGGCCACCCCAUCGGAAGACUAGCAGUCUCAACUAACCUGGACACCCGAGAUCUCUCAGACACUGAGCCACCAACAAGGCAGCAUACAGUACGAGAUCCCAGACACAUUCAGCAGAGGACUGCCUGAUCUGGCCUCAGUGAGAGAAGAAGCACUUAAUGCUUGAGAGACUUGAGGCUCCAGGGAGUGGGGACAUCCUCUUGGAGACUGGGGAAGAAGAAUCGGAUGAGGAACUGUUGGAGGGUGGACUGGGAGUGGAGAUAACAACUAGACUGUAAAAAAGAUUUAAAGAUGAUGUGAGAGAAAGCACUUUCUGUUCUUACAGAGGAACCAAGUGGCUCACAACUGCAUGUCAUUCUGGUGACAGAAGAAUCUAGCCCCCUCUCUUGGGCUCCAUGGGUACUGCACCCACAUGCACAUACCUACAUGCAAAUGCAUACACAUAUACAUAAUUAAAAACAAUAAAAAUUCUUUAA
ensembl:lincRNA Gm44920 predicted gene 44920